rnacentral:rRNA from 1 species
AAUGAACGUUGGCGGCGUGGAUUAGGCAUGCAAGUCGAGCGAGAAGUUUUAGAAAGAUACUUCGGUUGAUUUCUGGAAUGGACAGCGGCGAAAGGGAGAGUAACGAGUAGAUACGUACCCAGGGGUUCGGGAUAGCCAUGCGAAAGCGUGAGUAAUACCGAAUAAUGUCUCCGGACCAAAGAUUUAUUGCCCUUGGAGCGGUUUGCUUACUAUUAGCUUGUUGGUGGGGUAAAGGCCUACCAAGGCUUAGAUGGUUAGCGGGUGUGAGAGCAUGACCCGUCUCACUGGGACUGAGACACUGCCCAGACACCUACGGGUGGCUGCAGUCGAGAAUCUUCCGCAAUGGACGAAAGUCUGACGGAGCGACGCCGCGUGCUGGAUGAAGGCCCUCGGGUUGUAAACAGCUGUCGUAGGGGAGGAAAUUUUGACCGAUCCUAGGAGGAAGCACAGGCUAAGUUCGUGCCAGCAGCCGCGGUAAUACGAACUGUGCGAACGUUAUUCGGA